GUGCACCAGGCGAGAAUCUUUCGCAAUGGGCGAAAGCCUGACGAAGCGACGCCGUGUGAGCGAAGAAGGCCUUCGGGUUGUAAAGCUCUUUCGCUUGGGAACAAGAGAGGCUGGCAAAUAACCAGCCGAUUUGAGGGUACCAGGUAAAGAAGCACCGGCUAACUCCGUGCCAGCAGCUGCGGUAAUACGGAGGGUGCAAGCAUUAAUCGGAUUUAUUGGGCGUAAAGGGCGCGUAGGCGGGGAUGAAAGUCAGAUGUGAAAUCCCGGGGCUCAACCUCGGAACUGCAUUUGAUACUCCAUCUCUUGAGGAUAGGCGGAGAAAACGGAAUUCCACGUGUAGCGGUGAAAUGCGUAGAUAUGUGGAAGAACACCGGUGGCGAAAGCGGUUUUCUAGCUUAAACCUGACGCUGAGGCGCGAAAGCAAGGGGAUCAAACAGGAUUAGAUACCCCCGUAGUCC
rnacentral:rRNA from 1 species